AGAGUUUGAUCCUGGCUCAGGAUGAACGCUAGCGACAGGCUUAACACAUGCAAGUCGAGGGGCAGCAUAAAAGUAGCAAUACUUGGUGGCGACCGGCGCACGGGUGAGUAACGCGUAUGCAACCUACCUAUCAGAGGGGAAUAACCCGGCGAAAGUCGGACUAAUACCGCAUAAAACAGGGGCACCGCAUGGUGAUAUUUGUUAAAGAAAUUCGCUGAUAGAUGGGCAUGCGUUCCAUUAGGUAGUUGGUGAGGUAACGGCUCACCAAGCCGACGAUGGAUAGGGGAACUGAGAGGUUGGUCCCCCACACUGGUACUGAGACACGGACCAGACUCCUACGGGAGGCAGCAGUGAGGAAUAUUGGUCAAUGGGCGGGAGCCUGAACCAGCCAAGUCGCGUGAAGGAAGAAGGAUCUAUGGUUCGUAAACUUCUUUUGCAGGGGAAUAAAGUGCAGGACGUGUCCUGUUUUGUAUGUACCCUGAGAAUAAGGAUCGGCUAACUCCGUGCCAGCAGCCGC
rnacentral:rRNA from 1 species